rnacentral:misc_RNA from 1 species
GGAAUAUUGGACAAUGGGCGAAAGCCUGAUCCAGCAAUGCCGCGUGAGUGAUGAAGGCCUUAGGGUUGUAAAGCUCUUUUACCCGGGAUGAUAAUGACAGUACCGGGAGAAUAAGCUCCGGCUAACUCCGUGCCAGCAGCCGCGGUAAUACGGAGGGAGCUAGCGUUAUUCGGAAUUACUGGGCGUAAAGCGCACGUAGGCGGCUUUGUAAGUUAGAGGUGAAAGCCUGGAGCUCAACUCCAGAAUUGCCUUUAAGACUGCAUCGCUUGAAUCCAGGAGAGGUGAGUGGAAUUCCGAGUGUAGAGGUGAAAUUCGUAGAUAUUCGGAAGAACACCAGUGGCGAAGGCGGCUCACUGGACUGGUAUUGACGCUGAGGUGCGAAAGCGUGGGGAGCAAACAGGA